UGGUCCUCCUGGUGGUUUAACUACAAUGUUAGCUGUAGGCCAGUCCUCUGGUCCUCCUGGUGUUAUAACUACAAUGUUAGCUGUAGGCCAGCCCUCUGGUCCUCCUGGUGGUUUAACUACAAUGUUAGCUGUAGGCCAGUCCUCUGGUCCUCCUGCUGUUAUAACUACAAUGUUAGCUGUAGGCCAGUCCUCUGGUCCUCCUGGUGGUUUAACUACAAUGUUAGCUGUAGGCCAGCCCUCUGGUCCUCCUGCUGUUAUAACUACAAUGUUAGCUGUAGGCCUGUCCUCUGGUCCUCCUGGUGGUUUAACUACAAUGUUAGCUGUAGGCCAGCCCUCUGGUCCUCCUUGUGGUUUAACUACAAUGUUAGCUGUAGGCCAGCCCUCUGGUCCUCCUGCUGUUAUAACUACAAUGUUAGCUGUAGGCCUGCCCUCUGGUCCUCCUGCUGUUAUAACUACAAUGUUAGCUGUAGGCCAGCCCUCUGGUCCUCCUUGUGGUUUAACUACAAUGUUAGCUGUAGGCCAGCCCUCUGGUCCUCCUGGUAGUUUAACUACAAUGUUAGCUGUAGGCCUGCCCUCUGGUCCUCCUGGUGGUUUAACUACAAUGUUAGCUGUAGGCCAGCCCUAUGGUCCUCCUGGUGGUUAUAACUACAAUGUUAGCUGUAGGCCAGCCCUCUGGUCCUCCUGCUGUUAUAACUACAAUGUUAGCUGUAGGCCUGCCCUCUGGUCCUCCUGCUGUUAUAACUACAAUGUUAGCUGUAGGCCUGCCCUCUGGUCCUCCUGCUGUUAUAACUACAAUGUUAGCUGUAGGCCUGUCCUCUGGUCCUCCUGGUGGUUUAACUACAAUGUUAGCUGUAGGCCAGCCCUCUGGUCCUCCUGGUGUUGUAACUACAAUGUUAGCUGUAGGCCUGUCCUCUGGUCCUCCUGGUGGUUUAACUACAAUGUUAGCUGUAGGCCUGUCCUCUGGUCCUCCUGGUGGUUUAACUACAAUGUUAGCUGUAGGCCUGCCCUCUGGUCCUCCUGGUGGUUUAACUACAAUGUUAGCUGUAGGCCUGUCCUCUGGUCCUCCUGCUGUUAUAACUACAAUGUUAGCUGUAGGCCUGUCCUCUGGUCCUCCUGCUGUUAUAACUACAAUGUUAGCUGUAGGCCAGCCCUCUGGUCCUCCUGCUGUUAUAACUACAAUGUUAGCUGUAGGCCUGUCCUCUGGUCCUCC
rnacentral:lncRNA from 1 species